rnacentral:rRNA from 1 species
GAUCCUGCUCAGGAUGAACGCUGGCGGCGUGCUUAACACAUGCAAGUCGAGCGAAGCACUUUGGUUUGAUUCUUCGGAUGAAGACCUUUGUGACUGAGCGGCGGACGGGUGAGUAACGCGUGGGUAACCUGCCUCAUACAGGGGGAUAACAGUUAGAAAUGACUGCUAAUACCGCAUAAGACCACGGUACCGCAUGGUACAGUGGUAAAAACUCCGGUGGUAUGAGAUGGACCCGCGU